ensembl:lncRNA
AUGCAUGCUUCCACAUGGAAAGGCAGGACAUGCCAUGGGGCUACAAACACCUGGAAAAAAUGCCACAUGAAAAAUAAGGAAAAAACAAACUUCCCAGAUGCAAUACCUUUGAUACUUCAAUUUGACAUAUUUCUGAUUGUAUUGUAUUUGAUUUUGCAUUCACACAGCUGGAUUGCACCAGACUGCAGAAACAGAGCAAAGAAGGAACACUGGCCUCUGUUCAAGCCUCAGUAUUGAAUCUUAAUGAAGCAACUCCACCAGCACACCAAGGCCUUUCUCUGAUGACCCCCUCCACUCACUUCUUGGCAGCAGCAUCAAAACCAGCUGGAUUUAGGAAUAUCCUUUGGCUUGCAUUCACAGUCAGCCAGACACAUGUGCAGCCACUAAUAUAUUGAUGGUUUAUGUGGCUACAAAUAUUUUAGGAACAGAAAAUCACCCUUGAAUUAUUUUGAUGUUGUGCUUGACAUUUCAUGUUAUUUUUGCCAGUUCUGGAGGAGGGAAAAUGGUGAGGGGGAGUAAAACCUACUGUCAAUAUUUUUCCUGUGAAGAUACGUGGUAUCUUUGCCAUUAACUGUCUUAACUAAGAUUCUUAAUUUUAGAAUAAUUACUUUACUGUGCAUAGUCGGCUAAAAGGAAUAUAUACCUUUAUUCAUAUUUGAUUAGUUACUAUGAAUCUCUGAAGUUUUUGUACUGUGUGGUGGAUUCAGACUUGCUACUUUCUAAAUUUCCUUGUCCUGGAAUAUAUUCUAACCUUGGACUGACACUGCCGAUUUUUUUUUUUUUGUGUGUUCUCUCAUCAGAGUCAGAAUGAUCCACUAAAAUGCAGUUGUUCAGACUUAAUUUUUGAUCUUAUGGAGGAAUUCAUUAGUGCCUCAGCUGAAUUCAAAAAGAGGAAUUUUGGUUAUACAUAAAAAUGAGACUCUUUUCAUAUAGUGCUGUAGACAUUCAGUUUUACAAAUUAUAAAUUGGUGGAAUGUUCUCCUGCUUGUUUACUGACAGAAGUAUCCCAUACUAAAUUAGUUUACUACAAAUUUAUUUUCUAUUAUCACCAAUUAAGUUCAUGUCCAAAUCAUGUCCAUAUCAUAUUAGCAACUCGGUUUAAAAGCAAUCUGAAAACAUGGGAUUUUAUCCAAAUUUAUUCUUACUGCUUAGAGUGGUUUCCACUUGUUUCUGGGAAGGCAACAGAGGAACUGAAAUAUGUUAAAGAGGAUAAUAUCUGUGGCACAGGUGAAGCUGUCAGCUGAUUUUCUGUAAUAAUUUUAUCCAUGGUGUUAAGGUCAGCCAUGUGUUACAGGGGAGAAAGUUCAACUGCUCUGUUCAGUCACCUCAGAAGGCUGAGGCUGUUGUGUACAAGUACUUCAGUUCUGAUGCUGGAUGGGCACUGGAGAAACAGGAGCAAGGAGCAUUCCAGCUGGAGGCCUCUCAGAUCCCAGUCUGAGCCUGCAGGAGCUGAGACAAAGAGGCUGGUCAAGGACUAAGGAGAGGCAGAAGCAUGUGUGGGACAUCUCUAAAGGUGACCAGUGCAGGCAGGUGACUCUGCUUCUCAGAAGCCAGCAACAGACCAAUGAGGACAGCUCAUGACACAACUCUCACUUGUGCUUCCCUCCCCAGCCUCCAAAGCCCACACAGUUGGUGCAGCUGCAGUGCUCUGCCUGUACCUGCCCCCAUCAGCAGCUGGAGACAGCACCUUGCAGCCUCAGUACCCCCAUUGGGGAGCCACUGGCCAUGUUCCCAUGCCUUUGUUUUACUUUAAAAACAAGUAUAGACUCAGUAGGAGCUUGGUUUUCUCUCUUGUCAACAACCCUUAGCCAUCACAGUUUUUGCAACACCUGACAAGUUAACAAAGAUAAUGAAUGAGAGGCAUUAGAAUCAUAGAUUAUGGUGAGUUGGAAAGGAUCCACAAGGAUCUUUGUAUCCAGCUCCUGGCCUUGCACAGGACAACCCAAGGAGUGCAACCAUGUGCUCAAGGGUAUUGUCUAAGGGGUUCUUGAACUCAGACAAGCUUGAUGUUGUCACCAAGGGGAGCCUGUUCCAGUGCCCAGCCACCCUCUGGGUGAAAAGCCUUUUCGUGAUGUCCAACCUAAACCUCCCCUGACAGAGAUCUCUGUGCAGCCAUUAUUCUGUGGAGAAGAGGAGCAGGGCUCUAAAGGUUCACAUUCAUCAAGUGACAUGGAACCACACGGCACCAGCAAGAGUCAGAGCUGCAGGAAAACCACCUUCCCAGAAAAUACAGGCCAACCUGGAACUGGCUCCAGCAGGCAAAACAAGUGGUGGGAAUGGAGGCAUUACAAGAUCUUGUCCCAGUGAAUUCAGUUACAAAAUUCUCAUUACUUCAAGGGACCAAGAUGUCAUACAUUGCACUUGGUAUGGGACCAUGUCUUAUUAAAGUGAUUAGGAGAGGCUCAGCAUUUGCUUUGAAUAGCCAUUUAUGGGAUAAAUUAAUCCUGAAAUCUGCUGGCUCCCGUAUUUUGCUGUCACUGCUUGCUUAAGCUAAUCUUCCAGCUUUACAUGUGAAGAUUGAAGACAAUGGUAAAAAGCAGCUAAUAGCAAAGGAAGGAGGCUUUCUUUCUCUUCCUGGUUACAGUUCAGCUUAUUUCAUUCCUUAUUUGCCAUCUCUAUUGAUGUCUAAGCACAUAUGGAAGUGGGGAACAUUUAGAAAACAGCAAAUUGGUCCUUGCUCCAACCACUUCUCUGUGUACACAGCAGCAGAGGUGAUAAUGUGUCCCGGAAUGGGGACUUAAUGGGCUUGUCUGGUGGAAUAUUACAUUUUGGGAGCAGAGAAGUGAGAACAAGAGGUUUCAUGUGGUUAAUUGCUUAAGUAAUGUGAAAACUAGAUGAGUUUGAAAACCGUCUGAAUGCAGAAAUGUGCAGCCAAGGAAAGUAAAUUACUCACUUUGCUGCUCUCACGUCAUAGUGCAAAGCUGCCAGGUUUGAUGCCAGCAAAAAUAACAGUAUGUUAAACUUUGUCACAGUAUUUGAUUAGAGAUAAAACCAGGUCUGUGUAACACAAUAUUUCCUGUUGUAUUCUGAACUCUUGCAAACAAAAUGUUUGGCUGAGUAGAGAACAAAUUCAUACUUACCUUGUAUUUAUCAUAUAAAGGAGAGAUCCUUCUUAGAAAUGAAGGGUGAAAUAUCUCUACACAAAAAUCCCUGGGAAGUUUUCUUUCAACUUCAGUGAAGAAAUCUAAAGACAUUAGGAGAUGAAGAAAAUUAGCAUAAUCAGCUCAUGUUGUUUAAUCUCCCUAGUCCAACCCAGGAAUGUUCUCUAUGUGCUACUGGUUAACACUUUUAUCCCAGCCAGGUUUAGAUGACCUGUAAUUCCCCACUCUGCUGCCUUUUGUAACUGUCAGAGAUCUCACAACGUGCAUCUUGGAUCUCACAGAAAGAGAGAUCCAUGCUGCAUACAAUAUAUUUUAAAUGUGUAGUUAUGUUAAGUAUAAUGAGAAAGAGCAUAGGGAAG